rnacentral:rRNA from 1 species
CACGUAGGAUGCAAGCGUUAUUCGGAUUUACUGGGCGUAAAGCGCGUGUAGGCGGUUAGGAGAGUUGGAUGUGAAAGCUCCCGGCUUAACUGGGAGAGGUCGUUCAAAACUUCCUGACUAGAGUUUGGUAGAGGAAAAUGGAAUUCCGGGUGUAGUGGUGAAAUGCGUAGAUAUCCGGAGGAACACCAGUGGCGAAAGCGAUUUUCUGGACCGAUACUGACGCUCAGACGCGAAAGCUAGGGUAGCAAACGGAGUAGUAUACCGGUACGU